GCGCCCUUGGCUCAGCUGGAUAGAGCAACGGGCUUCGAACCCGUAGGUCGGCAGUUCGAAUCUGUCAGGGCGCG
rnacentral:tRNA from 1 species